GAGAGAGCGGCGUACGGGUGCGGUAACACGUUGUGCAACCUGCCUUUAUCUGGGGGAUAGCCUUUCGAAAGGAAGAUUAAUAACCCCAUAAUAUAUUUGAUGGCAUCAUUAGAUAUUGAAAACUCCGGUGGAUAGAGAUGGGCACGCGCAAGAUUAGAUAGUUGGUGGGUAACGGCCCACCAAGUCGAUGAUCUUAGGGGCCUGAGAGGGUGAUCCCCCACACUGGUACUGAGACACGGACCAGACUCCUACGGGAGGCAGCAGUGAGGAAUAUUGGACAAUGGGUGAGAGCCUGAUCCAGCCAUCCCGCGUGAAGGAAUAAGGUCCUAUGGAUUGUAAACUUCUUUUCUACAGGGAUAAACCUAUUUACGUGUAAAUAGCUGAAGGUACUGUAGGAAUAAGCACCGGCUAACUCCGUG
rnacentral:rRNA from 1 species